AUAUAUUUUUUCUUAUUUCUGCACUGCUCUCGAGGUUAAUUCCAUCAAAGCUCACAUCAUGGUCCCAUCCAUUGGGAUCAAGGACUGGUCUUGCAAGCCACUGUUCACUGGUGAUGAGACACCUGUAUCUGUGGAUAGGGCAAUCUGAAUCGAAGCUUGGAGGAAUAGCCAUAUCAGGCAAGAGAACUGGCUCUGGAGGGCCCUCCUGCUGGUUAUCAGACUCAUCAUCUGGCGCUGCUUUACCCUCACUUGAAGAAACUCUCUUUUCUCUUUGUCGACGAGCUUCUUCUAUCAGUUGUUUUUUCAAAUAGAGGGUUUCUCGGUAGUCUAGUUCGUCAAGAUAAUCCUUCUUUUGGGAACCACUCAACCUUUCAAACUGAGACUUGG
rnacentral:misc_RNA from 1 species